UACGAAGGGUGCGAGCGUUAUUCGGAAUUAUUGGGCGUAAAGGGUGCGUAGGCGGCGUGUUAAGUCAACUGUUAAAGACCUCAGCCUAACUGGGGAUCGGCGGUAGAUACUGGCAUGCUAGAGGGUGGAAGAGAGAAGUGGAAUUCUUGGAGUAGCGGUAAAAUGCGUAGAUCUCAAGAGGAACACCGAUGGCGAAGGCAGCUUCUUGGUCCACAUCUGACGCUGAUGCACGAAAGCAUGGGGAGCAAACAGG
rnacentral:rRNA from 1 species